AAUCAUAAAACAUAAUAACUGAAUUUCUAAUUACCCAAAAAUUUUUAUCAUAAAACAUAAUAACAUUCAGGUGAAAUGUUGCACAGCUAGGGUUUAUUCUCAUCUGUGGGUGUUUUAGUGGGGAAUUGAAGCAUUAGAUAAGUUGAUAUACGUUUAUCACUGAGAGCAUAUAACACAAUCAUCUAAUAGAAAUUGCAUCCGUGUGUAUUUCGCCGCUUCAUACACAGUCACUUUCGCAAAAUCUAAGAGGUGAAAUUGUGAGUCAUUAUCCUUCUCCGCCUAUUUUUGUGUGUUUCUCCGCCUUCACUGUCAAUCCAUGGUAAAAUUUGUGAGUCAUUAUCCUCCUCCGCCGUACCCAAGGCUUUAGCCACCGAUUUGUUGGUUAACUCUCUAGAGGCGUGCCAAUAUCGUUCUUGCUUCAAAUUCCUUUUACACCAAGUUUUGAGAGUCGUAAUAGGCAUUUUUUGAGUUUGAAAUUGAGUGAUUGAAGGCUAAUUAGGAAUUCAUCAUCCAAAUCCUCAAGAAGAACCCAAGACAAGUGCAUUUUCUAUUUUGAUUUUUAAGGUUAUGUUGCUCGAAGCCUUCAGAAAUAUUUUCGCACCUCUAUUGGAUCAUAAAAAAUGCACAGCUUUUGGAGGAUCGAACGCGUGCCUAUCAAGUGAUAUUUUGUUGUUAUUAAUAGUCGCACAUGAGAUGCAUCAAUAAACACGUUGCUGCUGAGAAGAUCUCAUCUAGUAAGGCUAAGAUGCCCUCUCAGUGAACCUUUCACGAACAUUGUAAGAUUAUUUUGAGGAAGGAUAUUUGAAAGAGGAUUAGUGUAUGUUGGAACAGACUACUUGUCCUUUCCACUUUGGGGUAAGUACCUGGAAUAUGAGUACACACAACAGGCUUGAUCGAAUGUUGUUGCCAUCUGCACAUGGAUAUUGCAGAAUCCAAAUCAACGGCUCGAUCGCUAUUUUGAAGGAUUCAAGAAGCUGGUGGCUAGUAGGACUUUAUCAGAGUUACGAACUCCUGAAGAAACUGCAGCUGCUACAAAAGCUGGGGGUGAACAGAUUGAGGGAGAGGUUAAUCCUGGUUCUGAGUUUUCUAAACCUGUAAGUGCAAGUUUAAAAGAUGCGGAGGAGCUGGAGAAGUAUAUCGCCAUUAGAUAAAAGAUGUAUAAGCAAGUUGUAAUACCCCGAGAAUCCAAAUAAAUAUUAGAACCAUUCUUCACGCUCAUGAGAAAUAAAUUAUAUUGUUUCGGUAGUUUUAUGAGAGAUUUUGAUGUAUAUUAAGGCCUCAAGAAACUCCUAGCUAUUAGAUGAAUCAAAAUAUCCCUUACCGAUUGAGCUCUUGAGAAGGAUGUUACUAUAUUCAA